AUGAGAACUUGCCCUCCGGGGUAGAUCUCCCACCCUCUGUUUACAUACUUUGUUGCUUUGGCAGGCCCGUCUUCGGACCGCCGGCUUCGGCUGGCCCGUGCCUGCCAGAGGAUUCAAAACUCUGUCUGUCUGUGUCGUCUGAGUACUAUAUAAUAGUUA
rnacentral:misc_RNA from 1 species